rnacentral:pre_miRNA from 1 species
UAGUCUUUCUAGUUCAAAUCUCCAUCUAGUUAUGUCAAAUCCACAUCUAAAUGCUAAGAAUAUUCAGCUUUUACAAGCCCGACUGCAUCAUUCUUCCCAGGAUAGAGAGAGCUCAUCCUUAAAUUUUGUUCUUCCUCUAAAUAAGAUG